ACGUUCACCCCGCCUCUCCGCGCAGGGCCACCAUCGUGGAGAUCAGUUCUCCCUUCUCCCCAUCCUUCCCAAUUUCUCACGCAACCUUUGCCCUGCGCCGCCACACCCUCUCCUCCGCCGCCUCCCCACAGGAUGUCGCCUGACCCGCUCGGGCGCCUCCUCGACGAUGCGGAGCCGUCUGGUAGAGAGCGCCAUGGCCUCCUCUCUAGGGAUUCAGAAAUCGGGAGGGGGGCAGGGAGAGAGGUCACGAUAGGCGUGGAUGGAAGGGAAGGCGCAGGACGACCCAGAAGACAUCCGCCCGCACGCUCUCACAGUCUCGCUCUGCCGGAUGGUGCUGGACCGCCGGACGGCGAGGGCUCCUUGUUGCUGGCCAAACUCAAGCGCUUUCUCGCGAAGAUAAUUGUGGAUUCCAAAGUAACGACCACUGUUAUCUUACUCCUUCCUUGGUGCUGGAAAGUGGUGGUAGUAGAACCAUAUAAAUCUCAGACAAUUACAUGUAUCUCGCCAAUUAGGCCAAUCUUGGUGCUGAAUCGUGUUAUGUUGGGUGUGCACCUAUAUGGGGUAGUAGCAGCAAUGAAAGACUCAUGGACCCACCCUAGAAGCUACGUAAUCUAGAGUUGAAGCCAAUUUCAGAACACUAGGUUCUGGAAUCUCCCCAGAUCCAGAAGCUUGGAAGCGCAGAUGGAGGACUUUUGAUAUCUAUAUACAGGGAGAGGGCAAGGAGCAGAAUUCUGACAUAAGAGAGGCUGCAAGAGAGUGAAUUCUUUUGUUAUUGUAAAGAAGGAUUAUGUUGUUCGUGUGGAAAAAAGCUUCCUUGAUAUCCAUCUCUUCUGGGCUGGCAAGGGUGCUUGCUGCAUUCUUACUCAAGCCUACUAUGGGCCUGUAAUAUCGGCUUAUGUUAGUUUUUGUGGGGCAGUUAAAAGAGUCCAUGUUAGUUUGCAUGUUUAUGUUAAGGUACAUUAGGAUGCCUUCAUAGAGAACUUUAUUUAUUCCAAGACAACUGAUACAUACUCUAUGUUACUGUACUCUCAUUAUGUGCAUUAGUUUUAAUACUGCAGAAGUGUUCUAUGCUUCAUGAAAUGACGCGAUAAGCAGAACUGUUUCUUAUGCUUGCUGCAUGCUGCAUAUACCUGGUGGAUCACGUUAUGGAUCAGCGUUUAAAAUAUGAGAAGUACACCAUCUGCCUUUAGAGUUGUCAUCAUCUGAUAUGCUUCCUUAUGUUCAAGGCCGCAAGCAAUUUUAGUUAAUUAGCAAGUCAUUUUUUCCCUCAAGUUCAGGACUGCAAUGGUAGCACUAAAAUAUGAUUUGUUUAUUAUUUGACUGACAUUUUUAUGAUAAACUUUCGCCUUUAAUGGUCUUCUUUGGUAGCCAUUCAUUUUCAACUCAAUAAUUUGUAAUUGUUUGACCUUUUUCUUCUUGGAACAGAUAAAUGUUCUGUUGGGGUUAACAUGUUACUAGAGGAUGUUUUUACAACUCAUUAUAUCAUGGUUUAUAUAGAUUUAGUAUUCUCAUAUUUAUUAAUGGGGGCACAUGUUGCAUCAUUGCAUAUGUAUACGAUUAUGUGAUAUCGGUACCUUUAUAGAUAUGAAAUUCUCUUCAGUUCAUGCAUUUUCCCAAUCGUUUGUCUUCCUAUUUGUUUACUAACAACUUUCGAUGUCUCUGAUAGUCUGAUUGUACUAAUAGUUUAUGUAAAUCAAUAUUAUUCUUUUAUGUUAAUAAAUUUGCAUGCGGUUGGUUGGCUAUGCCUUAGCUGAACAGUGACUCUUCAAUCAUGCGUGAACUGAUCUUAAGUUUAAAAAGAUCUUGUCACACAAAGUUAUAAUCUUAACAAACAAUCCAAUUAUGUUUUUUAUAUUUAAUCUAGCUCUCUUUGCUCCACUAUUUUGGAGUGAUAUUUCUGUUUUUAUGGGUGCUUAUUUGGGAUCUGAUGUUUCUGAUAGCUCUAGAACUAUCGAAGUUUGUGUUCUUCUGAAACUUGAUCCUUUUGUUUUGUCCUAAUGGUUCCUGGCUUCCAGACAUGGAUGGCUUCUAUGUAAUACAAGUGCAACUUUAUCAAAGCAAAAUCCACUACUUACAAGCCAAUUAUUUUUGUUCUAGGUAAUCCAUCAUAUCAUAUGUAAUUGCUUCUUGCACGGUUAAAAGGGCAAGCUUGACAGAUUCUUGCAUCUAACCAUCUUUUGAUAGAGAAUAGUGUCUAUCUACAGAGAUCAAAUAUGCAUGUCAAUUCUUUUCCUUUUUGCCUUAGCUAAGCAUUUUCUGCCAGGUUGAUCUAUCAUUUAAGAAUGUCCUCAACAAGAUGCGAUGCAGUUUUUUCCUUUGUUCACAGCUUGUGUCAUGCUUAUGUACCUGACAAUACUACGUUGAAGAAUGCUCCGGGGAAUUAAUCAUUGAGAAUGGGAAGGGCUGCAGGCUCCAGGGUGUUACCAUUCAGAAUGGUAAGGAAUGUAGGCAUCAUUGAGAAUGGGAAGGACUGCAGGCUCCGGGGAGUUACCAUUCAGAAUGGUAAGGAAUGUAGACUCCGGAGAGUUACCAUUUAAAAUAGCAAAGCAGGAUUCAUUGAAGUCUUGUUUCCAGUUCCUUUUACCACUGCUCUAUUCAGUCUUGUUUAACGCAUUUGAAUGAUUGUACCAAUAAAGACGAUAAGAGGUGUGUGAGAGUCUUUCAUUUGUAUUGCAACUGUGAAUAUUCGUGUAAAAUAUGUACAUAUAUAUGCAAUGUUUAUCUAUGAGUUGCACACCCCCAA